rnacentral:misc_RNA from 1 species
GUAGGUGAACCUGCGGAAGGAUCAUCAACAAAUCUAAAUACUGUCUCCCUUUUAGGAGGGGGCAAUAUACCAAUGUGAAUUGACAGCAGCAAUCAUUUUUUAAUAGGAAUGGUAGUUGUUGUUUUUGUAAUUAUGCUUUGUAUAGAGAGUUGUAUUGGUGUAAAAACUACUACUACUACUACUACUACUACUGCAUAAUAUUAUUAACGAGUUAAAUAUAGAGUCUGUUAAAAAAUUAUAAUCUUAUACA